UACAGAGGUCUCAAGCGUUGUUCGGAUUCAUUGGGCGUAAAGGGUGCGUAGGCGGCGCGGUAAGUCGGGUGUGAAAUCUCGGGGGCUUAACUCCGAAAACUGCAUUCGAUACUGCCGUGCUUGAGGACUGGAGAGGAGACUGGAAUUUACGGUGUAGCGGUGAAAUGCGUAGAUAUCGUAAGGAAGACCAGUGGCGAAGGCGGGUCUCUGGACAGUUCCUGACGCUGAGGCACGAAGGCCAGGGGGAGCAAACGGGG
rnacentral:rRNA from 1 species